UACGUAGGGGCAAGCGUUGUCCGGAAUCAUUGGGCGUAAAGAGCGUGUAGGCGGCCCGAUAAGUCCGCCGUGAAAGUCCAGGGCUCAACCCUGGAAUGCCGGUGGAAACUGUCGGGCUGGAGUCCGGAAGAGGCGAGUGGAAUUCCUGGUGUAGCGGUGAAAUGCGCAGAUAUCAGGAGGAACACCAAUGGCGAAGGCAGCUCGCUGGGACGGUACUGACGCUGGAGACGCGAAAGCGUGGGAGCAAACAGG
rnacentral:rRNA from 1 species